rnacentral:rRNA from 1 species
UUGCUGACGAGCGGCGGACGGGUGAGUAAAGCCUGGGAAAUUGCCCUGAUGUGGGGGAUAACCAUUGGAAACGAUGGCUAAUACCGCAUAAUGUCUACGGACCAAAGAGGGGGACCUUCGGGCCUCUCGCGUCGGGAUAUGCCCAGGUGGGAUUAGCUAGUUGGUGAGGUAAUGGCUCAACAAGGCGACGAUCUCUAGCUGGUCUGAGAGGAUGAUCAGCCACACUGGAACUGAGACACGGUCCAGACUCCUACGGGAGGCAGCAGUGGGGAAUAUUGCACAAUGGGCGCAAGCCUGAUGCAGCCAUGCCGCGUGUAUGAAGAAGGCCUUCGGGUUGUAAAGUACUUUCAGCAGUGAGGAAGGGUGUAGCUUUAAUAGAGUUACAUUUUGACGUUAGCUGCAGAAGAAGCACCGGCUAACUCCGUGCCAGCAGCCGCGGUAAUACGGAGGGUGCGAGCGUUAAUCGGAAUUACUGGGCGAAAAGCGCAUGCAGGUGGUUUUUUAAGUCAGAUGUGAAAGCCCGGGGCUUAACCCCGGAGUUGCAUUUGAAACUGGGAGGCU